CCAUUUUAACAAAAAAAAGCAAUACCGCCGCGGCAGCGAGAGCGCGAGAGAGAGCUUGGCAGGAAAUAGCUGAACAAGUCAAUGCCAAAUCGAAAAAAUGCAGAGGCCCGGCAGACUGGAGGGGGUCCACCACCUGCAGCCCUCACAGAGGCUGAGGAGAUGGCCCUCAGCCAACAGAGUAUGCGUCCUGUGGCUGAGGGCAUCCCUGGGGGGAGCUCCUCUGAUCCCCCCCACCCCCCAGGAUAGAAGUGCCUUUACAGUAUAAGAGUUACUGAUGGCGUCAUCGCCCUACUUGAACCAG